rnacentral:rRNA from 1 species
AUUGAACGCUGGCGGCAGGCUUAACACAUGCAAGUCGAGCGAGCGGCGGACGGGUGAGUAAUGUCUAGGAAACUGCCUGAUGGAGGGGGAUAACUACUGGACACGGUAGCUAAUACCGCAUCCCAUCAGCUGUGCCCAGAUGGGAUUAGCUAGUAGGUGGGGUAAUGGCUCACCCAGGCGACGAUCCCUAGCGGGUGUGAGAGGAUGACCAGCCACACUGGAACUGAGACGCGGUCCAGACUCCUACGGGAGGCAGCAGUGGAGAAUAUUGCACAAUGGGCGCAAGCCUGAUGCAGCCAUGCCGCGUGUGUGAAGAAGGCCUUCGGGUUGUAAAGCACUUUCAGCGGGGAGGCGUUACCCGCAGAAGAAGCACCGGCUAACUCCGUGCCAGCCGCCGCGGUAAUAC